CAUGGCUCAGGAUGAACGCUGGCGGCGUGCUUAACACAUGCAAGUCGAACGGUGAACACGGAGCUUGCUCUGUGGGAUCAGUGGCGAACGGGUGAGUAACACGUGAGCAACCUACCCCUGACUCUGGGAUAAGCGCUGGAAACGGCGUCUAAUACUGGAUACGAGUGGCGACCGCAUGGUCAGCUACUGGAAAGAUUUAUUGGUUGGGGAUGGGCUCGCGGCCUAUCAGCUUGUUGGUGAGGUAAUGGCUCACCAAGGCGUCGACGGGUAGCCGGCCUGAGAGGGUGACCGGCCACACUGGGACUGAGACACGGCCCAGACUCCUACGGGAGGCAGCAGUGGGGAAUAUUGCACAAUGGGCGCAAGCCUGAUGCAGCAACGCCGCGUGAGGGAUGACGGCCUUCGGGUUGUAAACCUCUUUUAGCAGGGAAGAAGCGAAAGUGACGGUACCUGCAGAAAAAGCGCCGGCUAACUACGUGCCAGCAGCCGCGGUAAUACGUAGGGCGCAAGCGUUAUCCGGAAUUAUUGGGCGUAAAGAGCUCGUAGGCGGUUUGUCGCGUCUGCUGUGAAAUCCGGAGGCUCAACCUCCGGCCUGCAGUGGGUACGGGCAGACUAGAGUGCGGUAGGGGAGAUUGGAAUUCCUGGUGUAGCGGUGGAAUGCGCAGAUAUCAGGAGGAACACCGAUGGCGAAGGCAGAUCUCUGGGCCGUAAC
rnacentral:rRNA from 1 species